rnacentral:rRNA from 1 species
GACGAACGCUGGCGGCGUGCUUAACACAUGCAAGUCGAACGGAAAGGCCCUGCUUUUGUGGGGUGCUCGAGUGGCGAACGGGUGAGUAACACGUGAGUAACCUGCCCUUGACUUUGGGAUAACUUCAGGAAACUGGGGCUAAUACCGGAUAGGAGCUCCUGCUGCAUGGUGGGGGUUGGAAAGUUUCGGCGGUUGGGGAUGGACUCGCGGCUUAUCAGCUUGUUGGCGGGGUAGUGGCUUACCAAGGCUUUGACGGGUAGCCGGCCUGAGAGGGUGACCGGCAACAUUGGGACUGAGAUACGGCCCAGACUCCUACGGGAGGCAGCAGUGGGGAAUAUUGCACAAUGGGCGGAAGCCUGAUGCAGCAACGCCGCGUGCGGGAUGACGGCCUUCGGGUUGUAAACCGCUUUCGCCUGUGACGAAGCGUGAGUGACGGUAAUGGGGAAAGAAGCACCGGCUAACUACGU